rnacentral:rRNA from 1 species
UACGAAGGGGGCUAGCGUUGUUCGGAAUUACUGGGCGUAAAGCGCACGUAGGCGGAAUGUUAAGUCAGGGGUGAAAUCCCGGGGCUCAACCCCGGAACUGCCUUUGAUACUGGCAUUCUCGAGUCCGGAAGAGGUGAGUGGAAUUCCGAGUGUAGAGGUGAAAUUCGUAGAUAUUCGGAGGAACACCAGUGGCGAAGGCGGCUCACUGGUCCGGUACUGGACGCUGAGGUGCGAAAGCGUGGGGAGCAAACAGGG